GAUGAACGCUGGCGGCGUGCCUAAUACAUGCAAGUCGAGCGAACGGACGAGAAGCUUGCUUUUCUGAUGUUAGCGGCGGACGGGUGAGUAACACGUGGAUAACCUACCUAUAAGACUGGGAUAACUUCGGGAAACCGGAGCUAAUACCGGAUAAUAUUUUGAACCGCAUGGUUCAAAAGUGAAAGACGGUCUUGCUGUCACUUAUAGAUGGAUCCGCGCUGCAUUAGCUAGUUGGUAAGGUAACGGCUUACCAAGGCAACGAUGCAUAGCCGACCUGAGAGGGUGAUCGGCCACACUGGAACGGAGACACGGUCCAGACGCCUACGGGAGGCCGCAGUAGGGAAUCUUCCGCAAUGGGCGAAAGCCUGACGGAGCAACGCCGCGUGAGUGAUGAAGGUCUUCGGAUCGUAAAACUCUGUUAUUAGGGAAGAACAGAUGUGUAAGUAACUGUGCACAUCGUGACGGUACCUAAUCAGAAAGCCACGGCUAACUACGUG
rnacentral:rRNA from 1 species